rnacentral:tRNA from 1 species
GCCUUCGUAGUUCAAUGGAUAGAAUACGAGCUUCCGGAGCUUGAGAUAGGGGUUCGACUCCUCUCGAGGGCA